GGGGUCCACUAUGCGCUUCAACUUUGUCAUCAUUAUGCACUUAUACCAGUUCAUUAAUACGUUUAUCUUUAUUUAAAAGUAUAUCAUGAGGAUAAACACGUUGUUUGUCAUACAGUUUACAAAUGUUCUUUGUCUAUAUAAAUAAGAAGCCACUAUGUAUAAAAAGUUAACAAUUUCAGGUCAAAGACUUGUCUUCAACACCGCUUAGAGCAAGCUAUAAAGGGCCACAAAAGACUAAUGUUAAACAUUUCAAACAGAAAAAAAUCAACGUUCUAAUUUAUAAUUUAUAUAAAAAAGGAGAAACAAGAAACAUAUAUGAACCACAUCAACAAACGGCAACCAUUGAACAACAGGCUCCUAUAUAAGGACAGAUGCAUAUAAAUGCAGCAAGUUAUUACCAUAUAUUGUUCUCCAUUAGAUUAUGUAUAAACCUUCGGGAUCUAUUAUCCACAAAAAAAUUACAAUAAGAAAUAAUGUUUGAUUUGCGAGCAAUCUGUAAAUAAGGGCAAAAAUAGUAUACCGUUGUUCAAAAGUCAUAAAUCGAUUGACAAAAACAAAUCCGGGUUACAAACCAGAACCGAAGGAAACGCAUCAACCAUAAGAGGGAAACAAAGGAACAACAGGAACUCAGACGUUCAACAAAAACAAACGUCAGCACACAUAGAAAGGAACUAUUUGGCAACAACUGCCAUAUUCCUGACUUGGUACAUGACAUUUUAAGAUAAAUGGUGAUGUGAACCUGGUUAUUGGCGUGCAAAACCUGCCGCUUUAUGACAAUGUUAAAAAAAUAUCGCUAAAACACUACGUGACAGAAACACAGCACAAACACUCGCAAGAACAUUCAUAACAGUGAAACGCACAAACAAAUAAUUUAAUAGUAGACACAACAUACAAACCACAGAACAACAACGAACAUAUUCUAUCAACGACAAACGCCACAGGUUAUCAAAAACAGUGACGCGCUUACAUAACUAACAUGCAAUUUCGAACUAUAUACAAUUAUUUUAUGUUAAAACAAAUUUAAACGGAUAAUCAUUAAAAUGAUUAAACUUCACGUAUAUUGACCAAUAAUAUGACAUUAACUUUUGUCAAAGGGGACUGGAUACAAACAACUCACUAUCCUUAAGUAUGGAUUACCGAGAGAAAAUGUCCAAUUUAUAACCUUUCAAAAUUUUAACGAUAAAUUUCAACGAUUUCAAAAUGCAAAUUUAGUACAAGAAGUUCUUGUGAAAGAGAAGCAUCGACCAAAGCAAUAAACCAAAGAUCAGAAAUAAAGAUAUAAUUCAUUCUGAAUUGAAAUAUAUAUAUAUUCACUGAUUUGUACAAAUAUGUAAAACAACAUAUAGGGACAAUAAUGCAAAUACAGUACAAAGUAUCCAGAUGCUACACACAAGAAAGACAUUAUUUGAAAAUGUAAAAUAUAUCGGGUAACAAAAAAAAAUGAAAUUAAUGCCAUGAGCAAUUUCCAUAUGAAAUCGGGUCCAUGUCUAGAAAUACAAUUCGGUAAUUAGUUUCGGACGUAACAACAACUAUUUCAUCUUGUUACUUUAUGUGAGUGCAAUGGUCCCCAGUGCCUGUGUAUUAUGUGUAUGUACUUUUUCGUGUACAAUUUAAUCAAACAAUUUUACAACUUAGAUUUUCUACUUGUGUUUUGUGACGUUUUUUCAUCAGGAUAAUUAACUAAUAAACAAUGGAUAUUACGUAUUUGUUUCAGAAAACAGAGAUGUAAAAUUUCACGUUUCUUGCAAAAAAGAAACAUGUGAACAAAAUUUGAAAAACAUAAGGAUGAUAGCUGCAAAAUACAUGGGUGUUGAUAUACAUUCGGUUUCAAUUACGAGGUUGCGAGGUCACAAAUAGCUUUUUGGUUACAUUAUUUGUUCCUGAAGUAUGAGUAGAUUUCCUAUUGAAAUAUGAUUCUACUGGACAGCUGUCAUUUCUGUGCCCUGUAAUAGAAUUUUCAUGGUGGACGACAAGAUAUUUUAAUGGAAGAAAGUAUGUUUUUUAAUAUAGUGGCCAAAUAGAUGAAGCAUGAAUUGUUUUAAUAUAGCUGACGUGUUUUUCAAUUGCAUUUAGUAAGAUUCUGAAAUAUGAAAUAGUUUGUGAUACAUAAGAAUCAUUUAUAGAUUCUAUUAGUGGCCACAAGUUUCAGUUACGGUUAUCUUUUUUUUUCUCACUCAUCAUGCAUUCAAGAUUGACUAGUACAAUUUAUUACAAAGUGUUUACAUGUAAAUUAAUAUACACAUUUAAGUGCAGGAUGUGAUUACACAUGUUACAGUUGAUAAACUGAAAACACAUGUUACUGGAGUUUCAUCCCAUGGACAAAACAACAUGUUCACCUUUCUUGUCUGACAAUGACUAUCUAUGAUGAUUCUUAGCAAGACUUAACAAACUAUGUGGAUUAAGCAUUCAUGCGAGUUGGACAUUUACACGUGGAUGCUGCUUUCAGGUGAAUAGAUGAAACUCUACAAAGGAGUAAUGCUGAAACUAUUCCUCGUCUUGAAGUAUUGUUCCCAAACAUAAAGGAUUUUGACGUAAUUUACGACAUACGUUCAUAGAUUAUAUGAAUACAUUAUGAUAUUGAGAACCAUGCUAAACCUCUGCAUUAUAAGUCUAUCCGGGAUUUAGCAACGAGUAUUUGGAAAAUACAAAGCAAUACAAAGCUUUUUGGGAUGGCGAAAAAGAUAACAGACCAUGGUACAAUUAAAAUAAUUUUAAGGAAGGCCCAUUUAACAAAGACAAUGCUUAGUUCUAGAAGAUCUACAUAAAGAUCUACAUAAAUAAACUAAAAUCGAGAUUACCAUAGUUGUGAUGUCUAUUCGAUUAUCAAAUUGAACAUACGUCAAAACAGUGUAAGGGCGGAUUUCUCGCACACCUAGAAUAACAUAGAGACAGUUUCCACUCAGAUGGAUAAAAGUUAUUCUAAAGACAAAAUGAAAUAUUUCGUUGUUGCCAAACAGCAAUCAGAAACAAGGGACCUCCGGUGAUCAAGACAUUUCAUCACAGUUAUGGAGAUUAUUCGAAAAUAGGAAGAGGAAUGUUCUUUGCAAGUGUAACCAAACAAUCACAAAAGGACACAAAAAGGGAAAUGAAAAGACCCAGAAGGCACUACAAAAGACAUAUCAAUGACACGAGAGAAAUAUAUACACAGAGAUUGCAAUUGGCAACUGUAACAGUGGUCAGCGAAAUCUAAUUGAAAACACGCAUCCUACGAUGAGACUUUAACGAGAGCGUUGAUAGCCAUUUUGUAACAUCAACGAAAGUUCGCAACUGCCACUCGAUAGUAAUUUUACAUGAAGCAUUUCAAAACAGCAUAAUGAUCCUGUUUUAAAUAAACAAAGUUUUUGAUCAAAUUUGCCUAACAGUGCAGCAUACAAGAGAUGUAGUAACAAGUGAUGAAUGCAGGAUUCCCAAUUCUUUCUGUUUGAAAAUAAGACUCACUGGCAGACAGAAAUAACUUUUAGUGAUUACUUUUUCCAAUUAUGACAACACAGUCAUGACAGUCAUGUAGUGGACCGAUUACUACUCCUAUCAAUAUGAUACUUAAAAAAGGUUUUGUAAGAUAGAAGAUAUCAGGUGCUCAUCCUGACUGUGAAAACACCAUAUUAUUGUAGUUCAUAUGCUAAACUUGAUUUACACGUGUAUGCAAUUUUUGUGUAAUUGACAUCAUUGAACUAAAAACAAAUACAAGACUCUCAUUCAAUCUAUUGAAUUUGAAGCGGAAGUGGAACAGGGGCAGUUGUGCAGAGACUAU